GACGAACGCUGGCGGCGUGCUUAACACAUGCAAGUCGAACGAAGAGCGACGGAAGCUUGCUUCUAUCAAUCUUAGUGGCGAACGGGUGAGUAACGCGUAAUCAACCUGCCCUUCAGAGGGGGACAACAGUUGGAAACGACUGCUAAUACCGCAUACGAUCUAACCUCGGCAUCGAGGAUAGAUGAAAGGUGGCCACUACAUGUAAGCUAUCACUGAAGGAGGGGAUUGCGUCUGAUUAGCUAGUUGGAGGGGUAACGGCCCACCAAGGCGAUGAUCAGUAGCCGGUCUGAGAGGAUGAACGGCCACAUUGGGACUGAGACACGGCCCAGACUCCUACGGGAGGCAGCAGUGGGGAAUCUUCCGCAAUGGACGAAAGUCUGACGGAGCAACGCCGCGUGAGUGAUGACGGCCUUCGGGUUGUAAAGCUCUGUUAAUCGGGACGAAAGGCCUUCUUGCGAAUAGUGAGAAGGAUUGACGGUACCGGAAUAGAAAGCCACGGCUAACUACGUG
rnacentral:rRNA from 1 species